GACGAACGCUGGCGGCGUGCUUAACACAUGCAAGUCGAACGGAAAGGCCCUUCGGGGUACUCGAGUGGCGAACGGGUGAGUAACACGUGGGUGAUCUGCCCUGCACUUUGGGAUAAGCCUGGGAAACUGGGUCUAAUACCGGCUAGGACCACGGCAUUCAUGUGCUGUGGUGGAAAGCUUUUGCGGUGUGGGAUGGGCCCGCGGCCUAUCAGCUUGUUGGUGGGGUAAUGGCCUACCAAGGCGACGACGGGUAGCCGGCCUGAGAGGGUGACCGGCCACACUGGGACUGAGAUACGGCCCAGACUCCUACGGGAGGCAGCAGUGGGGAAUAUUGCACAAUGGGCGCAAGCCUGAUGCAGCGACGCCGCGUGAGGGAUGACGGCCUUCGGGUUGUAAACCUCUUUCGCCAGGGACGAAGCGCAAGUGACGGUACCUGGAGAAGAAGGACCGGCCAACUACGUG
rnacentral:rRNA from 1 species